GACGAACGCUGGCGGCGUGCUUAACACAUGCAAGUCGAACGGGCCUUGUCCCCUUUUUUUUUGGGGGUGGGGUUAGUGGCGAACGGGUGAGUAACACGUGAGUAACCUGCCCCUCACUUCUGGAUAACCGCUUGAAAGGGUGGCUAAUACGGGGUGUUCUGGCCUGCUCGCAUGGGUGGGUUUGGAAAGAUUCGACCGGUUUUGGUUGUUUUGGUGGGGGAUGGGCUCGCGGCCUAUCAGCUUGUUGGUGGGGUGAUGGCCUGCCAAGGCUUUGACGGGUAGCCGGCCUGAGAGGGUGGGCGGUCACACUGGGACUGAGACACGGCCCAGACUCCUACGGGAGGCAGCAGUGGGGAAUAUUGCACAAUGGGCGCAAGCCUGAUGCAGCGACGCCGCGUGAGGGAUGGAGGCCGUCGGGUUGUGAACCUCUUUCGCCAGUGAAGAAGGUCCUGCUCUUUGUGGUGGGGUUGACGGUAGCUGGGUUAAUGAAGCGCCGGCUAACUACGUG
rnacentral:rRNA from 1 species